rnacentral:rRNA from 1 species
GACGAACGCUGGCGGCGUGCUUAACACAUGCAAGUCGAACGGAAAGGCCCUGCUUUUGUGGGGUGCUCGAGUGGCGAACGGGUGAGUAACACGUGAGUAACCUGCCCUUGACUUUGGGAUAACUUCAGGAAACUGGGGCUAAUACCGGAUAGGAGCUCCUGCUGCGUGGUGGGGGUUGGAAAGUUUCGGCGGUUGGGGAUGGACUCGGGGCUUAUCAGCUUGUUGGUGGGGUAGUGGCUUACCAAGGCUUUGACGGGUAGCCGGCCUGGGAGGGUGACCGGGCACAUUGGGCCUGAGGUACGGGCCGGAGUCAUACGGGAGGCAGGAGUGGGAAAUGUUGCGAGAUGGGCGGAGGCCGUGUGGAGCAACGCCGGGUGCGGAAUGACGGCCUUCGGGUUGUAAACCGCUUUCGCCUGUGACGAAGCGUGAGUGACGGUAAUGGGUAAAGAAGCACCGGCUAACUACGUG